CUCCUACGGGAGGCAGCAGUGGGGAAUAUUGGACAAUGGGCGAAAGCCUGAUCCAGCCAUGCCGCGUGAGUGAAGAAGGCCUUCGGGUUGUAAAGCUCUUUUAGUCGGAAAGAAAGAGUUGCAAUGAAUAAUUGUGAUUUAUGACGGUACCGACAGAAAAAGCACCGGCUAACUACGUGCCAGCGCCGCGGUAA
rnacentral:rRNA from 1 species